rnacentral:tRNA from 2 species
GGAAGCGUGCCGGAGCGGCCGAACGGAACAGUCUUGAAAACUGUCGUCGUUAAUAGCGACCGUGGGUUCAAAUCCCACCGCUUCCUCCA